rnacentral:ncRNA from 1 species
GUGUCUAUUGAAAGGAGAGACGGUUAGCACUCCCCUUGACAAGGAUGGAACACAUAAUGGUUAUGGGCACUCAUAGCCACCACAUUUUUUUU